ensembl:rRNA 5S_rRNA 5S ribosomal RNA
UAGGGCCAUACCUCCUUGAACGCACAUGAUCUCAUCUGAUCUCAGGAGCUAAGCAGGGUCGGGCGCGAUUAGUACUUGGAUGGGAGACAUUUGAUGAAAACGGGCAAACCCCCUCU